UUUUAUGGAGAGUUUGAUCCUGGCUCAGAGUGAACGCUGGCGGCGUGCCUAAUACAUGCAAGUCGAACGAUGAAGCUUCUAGCUUGCUAGAAUGCUGAUUAGUGGCGCACGGGUGAGUAACGCAUAGGUCAUGUGCCUCUUAGUUUGGGAUAGCCAUUGGAAACGAUGAUUAAUACCAGAUACUCCCUACGGGGGAAAGAUUUAUCGCUAAGAGAUCAGCCUAUGUCCUAUCAGCUUGUUGGUAAGGUAAUGGCUUACCAAGGCUAUGACGGGUAUCCGGCCUGAGAGGGUGAACGGACACACUGGAACUGAGACACGGUCCAGACUCCUACGGGAGGCAGCAGUAGGGAAUAUUGCUCAAUGGGGGAAACCCUGAAGCAGCAACGCCGCGUGGAGGAUGAAGGUUUUAGGAUUGUAAACUCCUUUUGUUAGAGAAGAUAAUGACGGUAUCUAACGAAUAAGCACCGGCUAACUCCGUGCCAGCAGCCGCGGUAAUACGGAGGGUGCAAGCGUUACUCGGAAUCACUGGGCGUAAAGAGCGCGUAGGCGGGAUAGUCAGUCAGGUGUGAAAUCCUAUGGCUUAACCAUAGAACUGCAUUUGAAACUACUAUUCUAGAGUGUGGGAGAGGUAGGUGGAAUUCUUGGUGUAGGGGUAAAAUCCGUAGAGAUCAAGAGGAAUACUCAUUGCGAAGGCGACCUGCUGGAACAUUACUGACGCUGAUUGCGCGAAAGCGUGGGGAGCAAACAGGAUUAGAUACCCUGGUAGUCCACGCCCUAAACGAUGGAUGCUAGUUGUUGGAGGGCUUAGUCUCUCCAGUAAUGCAGCUAACGCAUUAAGCAUCCCGCCUGGGGAGUACGGUCGCAAGAUUAAAACUCAAAGGAAUAGACGGGGACCCGCACAAGCGGUGGAGCAUGUGGUUUAAUUCGAAGAUACACGAAGAACCUUACCUAGGCUUGACAUUGAGAGAAUCCGCUAGAAAUAGUGGAGUGUCUGGCUUGCCAGACCUUGAAAACAGGUGCUGCACGGCUGUCGUCAGCUCGUGUCGUGAGAUGUUGGGUUAAGUCCCGCAACGAGCGCAACCCCCUUUCUUAGUUGCUAACAGGUUAUGCUGAGAACUCUAAGGAUACUGCCUCCGUAAGGAGGAGGAAGGUGGGGACGACGUCAAGUCAUCAUGGCCCUUACGCCUAGGGCUACACACGUGCUACAAUGGGGUGUACAAAGAGAAGCAAUACUGCGAAGUGGAGCCAAUCUUCAAAACACCUCUCAGUUCGGAUUGUAGGCUGCAACUCGCCUGCAUGAAGCUGGAAUCGCUAGUAAUCGCAAAUCAGCCAUGUUGCGGUGAAUACGUUCCCGGGUCUUGUACUCACCGCCCGUCACACCAUGGGAGUUGUGUUUGCCUUAAGUCAGGAUGCUAAAUUGGCUACUGCCCACGGCACACACAGCGACUGGGGUGAAGUCGUAACAAGGUAACCGUAGGUGAACCUGCGGUUGGAUCACCUCCUUUCUAGA
rnacentral:rRNA from 1 species